GACGAACGCUGGCGGCGUGCUUAACACAUGCAAGUCGAACGGAGUGGCGAACGGGUGAGUAACACGUGGGUGACCUGCCCUGCACUUCGGGAUAAGCCUGGGACACUGGGUCUAAUACCGGAAAGUGGGGGAUGGGUCCGCGGCCUAUCAGCUUGUUGGUGGGGUAAUGGACUACCAAGGCGGAGAGGGGUGGCCGGCCUGAGAGGGUGGACGGCCACAGUGGUACUGAGACACGGCCCAGACUCAUACGGGAGGCAGCAGUGGGGAAUAUUGCACAAUGGGCGUAAGCCUGAUGCAGCGACGCCGCGUGGGGGAGGACGGCCUUCGGGUUGUAAACUCCUUUCACCAUCGACGCGGUAGAUGGAGAAGAAGCACCGGCUAACUACGUGCCAGCAGCCGCGGUAAUAC
rnacentral:rRNA from 1 species